rnacentral:lncRNA from 1 species
UCAAAAUUCCUAACCCUUUCAGCUAAGGUUUCAAUCUAUAAACUUGCAGCAGCCGAACCACCACCAUAUUCGGUGGCCGACAGCGUGCAGAUGAUGGCCUGAACUUGCCAACGACGGAGAACUUUGACUAUGCCCAUGGAGAUUUGGUAAGUGUAUUCUCCUUUUCUUCUUUAUAUUAAAAAAAAACUUCAAAUCCUAUGUUUUUUUUCAAAAAAAAGAAGCAAGAUUCAAAGAAUGUAAAGGAUUUCAAUACCAUUCGACCCUCGCCCGAACCUUCCUGCUUCUAAGGUGUUUGGGAGCUCAUCGGCAUCAAUUUAGGUAACCUUUUUUCAUUUUUCCAAGCUAAAAAUUCCAAACAAAUCAAAAGGGAAAAAAACUUAAAAGAAAGGAAACAGAAUUUAAAAUCACCUUUUGAUAUUUUUUUUGAUUGCCUUUUCUGGUAUUCAGUAUGCGUAAUUUUUACAGUACAAUCCUUGCCUUUUAUAGUUGAUUUACAGAAUAAAUAAAAAAUAUUAGGAAAAAAAACUUGAAUUUUUGCUGUCAUUUGCUGGCUUAUUUCUGUUAUCUUUUCUUUUCUCGCAGGUUCUAUGGAGACCUUACGGAAGUGUGGGACUAUGGAUGUGGCACUGUGUACGGCGAUGGAGAGGUCGCUCGCGGGCAACUGCGCAAGGCCUUUGCUAGGGUUUCAGUUUCUAAACCAAAAUUUGAGUCGUUUGGGCCUGUUUUUAGGACUAGGUCGGGUUUCGGUUGGGUUUUGGGUUUAUUUAAUUGGGUUUAAGAUUUGGGCUAAGAUUAUUUGGGUUUUAAUUAAUUACUGGGUCUUUGUAUUUAUGGAUUGUGAACAAUUUUUAAACUGUAUUUUAUUUUUUAUUUGGCUUAUUUAUUUGUUGUAAAUAAAUUUAAAGGCCCGGGAAGAUUGGGCCUCCUACAGGAUCCUUUAUUCAUUUAUCCAACUUCAAGUUGGAUUAAAUUUGUGGAAAUAGAAUGAUUGAAAUUAUAUAAAUGAGAAUUAGAGUUAUGGCCACAACUAAUGCCAACUAUUUCCUAGGACAAGGAAACAAUGUCAAAAAAGCAUGUUGUAAAAUAGACAUUUGUACAUGUUAGCCUUUGAUUUGAUUAUAUAUUUGAGAUUCAAUCUCUAAUUUAUGAUGAUAAAUGUGAGAGAAAAUAAUUUUCUUCUCUUAGUAGUACUACAAAUUAGAAUGAGUUUCAACCCUAUUAUUAGACACUGAUAAGUUUU